rnacentral:lncRNA from 1 species
UCGUGAUCAGCACUGACUGGGUUGGCGGAGGAGUCUCCAUCAUCGGUGGCUGUGCCUGGCUUAUUGGAUUAGCUCUCCACCCAAUAAGAGGCAGUGGUGUUGGAGAGCCGAGAUGAUGUUCGCUUUGAUGGCAUAAUGAACAUUGGGCCCUUGCUCUAUCUAUUGCUGCUCGUUUCAAUUAGGUCGGAAGGCGGAUGCCUGG